ACUCCUACGGGAGGCAGCAGUGGGGAAUAUUGGACAAUGGGCGGAAGCCUGAUCCAGCAACGCCGCGUGAGGGAUGACGGCCUUCGGGUUGUAAACCUCUUUCACCAUUGACGAAGCUGCAUCUUUUUGGGUGUGGUGACGGUAGGUGGGGAAGAAGCACCGGCCAACUACGUGCCAGCAGCCGCGGUAAUACGUAGGGUGCGAGCGUUGUCCGGAAUUAUUGGGCGUAAAGGGCUCGUAGGCGGUUUGUCGCGUCGGGAGUGAAAACCUUGGGCUUAACUCAGGGCUUGCUUUCGAUACGGGCAGACUAGAGGUAUGCAGGGGAGAACGGAAUUCCUGGUGUAGCGGUGAAAUGCGCAGAUAUCAGGAGGAACACCGGUGGCGAAGGCGGUUCUCUGGGCAUGAUCUGACGCUGAGGAGCGAAAGUGUGGGGAGCGAACAGGAUUAGAUACCCUGGUAGUCCACACCGUAAACGUUGGGCGCUAGGUGUGGGAUCCAUUCCACGGGUUCCGUGCCGCAGCUAACGCAUUAAGCGCCCCGCCUGGGGAGUACGGCCGCAAGGCUAAAACUCAAAUGAAUUGACGG
rnacentral:rRNA from 1 species